GAUGAAGAACGCAGCGAAAUGCGAUAAGUAGUGUGAAUUGCAGAAUUCAGUGAAUCAUCGAAUCUUUGAACGCACAUUGCGCCCCUUGGUAUUCCAUGGGGCAUGCCUGUUCGAGCGUCAUUUGUACCUUCAAGCUUUGCUUGGUGUUGGGUGUUUGUCCCUCGGGACUCGCCUUAAAGUCAUUGGCGGCCAGUGUUUUGGUUUUGAAGCGCAGCACAAGUCGCGAUUCAAGGCUAUCCGCCCGCUUCCACAAGCCUUUUUCACUUUUGACCUCGGAUCAGGUAGGGAUACCCGCUGAACUUAAGCAUAUCAAUAAGCGGAGGA
rnacentral:misc_RNA from 1 species